rnacentral:rRNA from 1 species
UGUGAGGCGUUGAGCUAACAUGUACUAAUGACUCGAGAGGCUUAACCAUACAACCCAGAUGGGUUUUG